rnacentral:rRNA from 1 species
UACGUAGGUGGCAAGCGUUGUCCGGAAUUAUUGGGCGUAAAGCGCGCGCAGGCGGUCCUUUAAGUCUGAUGUGAAAGCCCACGGCUCAACCGUGGAGGGUCAUUGGAAACUGGAGGACUUGAGUACAGAAGAGGAAAGCGGAAUUCCACGUGUAGCGGUGAAAUGCGUAGAGAUGUGGAGGAACACCAGUGGCGAAGGCGGCGUU